AGUGAACGCUGGCGGCAGGCCUAACACAUGCAAGUCGAACGGCAGCACAGGAGAGCUUGCUCUCUGGGUGGCGAGUGGCGGACGGGUGAGGAAUACGUCGGAAUCUGCCUAUUUGUGGGGGAUAACGUAGGGAAACUUACGCUAAUACCGCAUACGACCUACGGGUGAAAGCGGAGGACCUUCGGCUUCGCGCAGAUAGAUGAGCCGACGUCGGAUUAGCUAGUUGGCGGGGAAAGGCCCACCAAGGCGACGAUCCGUAGCUGGUCUGAGAGGAUGAUCAGCCACACUGGAACUGAGACACGGUCCAGACUCCCACGGGAGGCAGCAGUGGGGAAUAUUGGACAAUGGGCGCAAGCUGAUCCAGCCAUGCCGCGUGUGUGAAGAAGGCCUUCGG
rnacentral:rRNA from 1 species